rnacentral:lncRNA from 1 species
AAAAUUAAAAAGUAAAAAUAAAACUAUUUUGAAAACAGAGUGAACAAAACAAAACCACGAAAACUAUAGGCAAAACAAAACCACAAAAUUGUGAACAAAAUUGCGAUAAUGUAGACUGAAAUUAAAACAAAAUAAAACUACAAAAAAAGAUGUUAGAGAAAUUGUGACUAGCGACUAACCCAAAAGCCAACACCGCCGCUGAAAAAAAUAUUUAAUUUUAAAAAAUAAACAAUUUCUUUUUCAUAAAAAAAGGAAAAAAUUAAAAUAUCUAAAAAUUCAACCAC